AUUUGGGGCCAGAGCAAUGUUUAGUGUAGGACUAACUUUUGCCCUGCACUGAGGUAAAAUCCUUCUUAUGUAGUCUUCCCACUGCCCAUGAAUCAGAAAAUUUCCUACUUGCAAUGGUGGGAAUAACAACUAUUCCUAGCCCUGCAUGAGUGCAGAGAAUUUUUCCCUCUAAUCAGUUUGACUGGUCCCUUCCCCAGCCUCAGAUAGAUUCUUCAUAUGCAUGUACCAAUCAGAACUGAACUGAGUACUCACUGGGACCUUCUGUACUCUCUGUACUCUGGAGCUCCCUAUCUUUCUCCUCUACUUCAUGCAAACUCUAACCACCUUGUCUCCUCAGACUCCUAGGUAUGCCCUGUCAACUGUGGGAUACACCCAGGCUCUGUAUCAGUUCCACAUCCCUGCUCCAUGGCCCAGCAAUGCUCUCCAACCAAGCAAUUACAGGGCUCAUUUCACCAGCAUCUAAUUUUUCAGGGAUCAUUGUCUUUCACUGCUUAAGGUACAAUGUCUUGAAAACGGUCAUUUCAUUUAUUUUGUCUGGAUUUUUGUAGUGUCAGACAGAAGAGCAAAUCUAUUCCCUGUUAUUCUAACUUAGCCUGAAUCAGCAGUCAUCUUUUAGAGUUCCCGUCAUGGCUCAGCAGUAACUAAACCAACUAGGAUCCAUGAAGUCGAAGGUUUGAUCCCCGGGCCUCACUGAGUGGGUUAAGCAUACAGCAUUGCCAUGGGCUAUGGUUAAUGGUUGCACAACUCUGUGAAUGUACUAAAAAUCACUGGAAUGUUAACUUCAAAGGAGUAAAUUUUAUGGUAUGUAAUAUCUCAAUAAAGUUAUUUUGUUUUGUUUUGUUUUUUAAACAAAUGGCCACACCUGCGGCAUAUGGAAGUUCCCGGGCUAGGGGUUGAGCCACAGCCACUGUAGAAGCAAUGCCGAGUAGGUAUGUUGUGAGCCACAUGGGAAGUCCUGUAAUAUCUCAAUAAAGUUAUUAUCAAGCAUACACAGGGGAUGGAUAUUCUGGGACACUAUGAAGCAGUAAGAAGCAAUUUUAUAUACUUAAAGUACAUAAAGGCAACAUAUAAGUCUUGAAAACCUGGUGUCAAGUUCAAAGUAAAUACAACAAUACGGAAAGAUCUUCAAAACCCAGUAUUAAAUUAUACAAUAAAAGAAAAUAAGAGUCUCAAUAAUUCUCCGUUCAUUCUCACAAGUCCCCCCUCUAUGUUUGCCUUUGUGAUCAAACGGACCAUGACAACUUUAAGGAACAUGUUCAUCUUGGAGAGCAAAGUAUCUCAGCUUCUACAAAACAAAGAUAAGAGCUCAACACCGCCGAAUGUUACACUGGGUACCAGAAACGCAUUCCUCAAUGUGAUUGAAAGAAUGAGAGUAAGAACAGAGAGAAGACUAUCAUCCCUAAUUCUGAU
ensembl:lncRNA